rnacentral:lncRNA from 1 species
GAUUGGACUAUGGAUGAACCUAGAUAUUGCCAAAUAGAUUGAAUAAUAGGUUUAUUUGAGCUGUUAGAGAUGUCCAUAUAUAUAUAUCAAAACCCCUUCUUAAGCUUGAUUCGCAAAUAAGCCAAGCCUGAGACUUUGGGUUGGCAAAAAUAAGCGAGAGCUCGAAAUCAGCUUGAAAACAAACUUGUCAUACUCAAUAG